rnacentral:rRNA from 1 species
UACGGGGGGUGCAAGCGUUGUCCGGAAUCAUUGGGCGUAAAGCGUUCGUAGGCUGUAUGUCAAGUCUGGUGUUAAAGCCCGGGGCUCAACUCCGGUUCGGCACUGGAUACUGGCAAACUAGAAUGUGGUAGGGGUAAAGGGAAUUCCUGGUGUAGCGGUGAAAUGCGUAGAUAUCAGGAGGAACAUCUGUGGCGAAAGCGCUUUACUGGGCCAUUAUUGACGCUGAGGAACGAAAGCCAGGGGAGCAAAU